AAGCUCAAUUUUCUCCACAUCUACACUGAGCGGGAAAGAUGGUUAGAGAAAAAUCAGGAAGUGUUGGAGGAAAUUUCACAACCACCUUCUCUCCCAUGUUAUUUUUGAAGAACAUAAGCUAAGAAGAGAUCUAAUUAGAGUUUGAAUGUCAAUAUGAAAAAUAUAUCGUUCAACAACGUACAAAUCAAGUAGAAGUUCAAGAUGGCUUUCACUUUAGUUAGGGGUGGUUUAAAUUAAAGACAAUGUCAUAUCGUUUAUUUUUGCAUUUUUUCUCCUUUUUAGGAGUUGAUAAAGAUAUGUUAUGCUACUUGAAUAUGAUAUAUCUUUUUUUAAUUAGUUUUUUUAUCAAGCAUGAGACUUUCUAUAAUGAAUUCAAUUAUUUAGUUUA